ACCGAGGUAGACACGCCAGAUUUAGGAUCUGGUGCCAUCUGGGUGUGAAGGUUCGAGUCCUUUCCGCGGUA
rnacentral:tRNA from 1 species